GGAAUAUUACAAUGGUGUUUUCUGCUGAAAAACUACAUUUUAAGAGCCAUGCUUAAUAUUUAGUGUGCUUCCAUUCUUGAAGAAGAGAGCUGAAUUUUAAAAAUAGAUGUAUUAAACAUGCUUUCAUAUAAAUUUAUAUUACACCAUUAUUGGAAGCAUUGAGCCAUGGCAAACAAUCUAUUACAUCAUGAUUUACUAUGCUGUAUUGUAUCAACUGAUGGAUUAUAGCAUGUCAUGUUUUUAUAUGUAAAAUCUUUAAGAUAAUUAAAGAAGCAAACCACAAAAAUAGUGCAUGUGCCAUUUUAAAUAAAAAUCUUUUUUUUCCAUUCUCCAAAGUAAUUUUAGACAUUUUAGAGGGUUCUAUAUUUUGGCAUAGCUGGGUAUCCAGGUAUUAGCUCUAUGAGGAAAUAUAUAAUAUACAUGAGGAAAGCUAUUAAAAUAGGACAUACGAAAAAUAGCCGAUGAUAACUUUUGAAGGAUAUAAAAAUUGACAUUUUAUAAAUAUUCAUAUUAUCUGUUUUCUUCUCUGAUUUUGAGUAUUGUGUCAACCAUGCUCUUAUAAAUAUGACCCCUGUUUUUUAAAGAAUCAAUAUAUUUGCCUUCUUUCCUACUAGGUGUUACUAUCAGCAUAAAGUUGCUACCAAGGAAAUAAUGCAAAUAAUUCUUUGUUGGCCAGUUGCCAAAGAAGAUACAUUUCACAGAAAAAUUAUCUGCAUUUUUAAUCUGAACAAUGGCAUGGCUAAUAAGAUGCUAACUACUGAUUUAAAUCAGGUGAGAAAAAUACACGAAGGAAAGGCCUCACAAGACCUCAGCGUAGCAAGUAGGACCUGAAUCUUGGACUUCCAGCUCCUAAAACCGGAAUACUCAUCUCCCUUAUGGAUGUGAAAAGUAUGCAGUGAUAAACCAA
rnacentral:lncRNA from 1 species